rnacentral:rRNA from 1 species
UACGGAAGGCAGCAGUGGGGAAUAUUGCACAAUGGGCGCAAGCCUGAUGCAGCCAUGCCGCGUGUAUGAAGAAGGCCUUCGGGUUGUAAAGUACUUUCAGCGGGGAGGAAGGCGAUGUGGUUAAUAACCGCGUCGAUUGACGUUACCCGCAGAAGAAGCACCGGCUAACUCCGUGCCAGCAGCCGCGGUAAUACGGAGGGUGCAAGCGUUAAUCGGAAUUACUGGGCGUAAAGCGCACGCAGGCGGUCUGUUAAGUCAGAUGUGAAAUCCCCGGGCUUAACCUGGGAACUGCAUUUUGAAACUGGCAGGCUUGAGUCUCGUAGAGGGGGUAGAAUUCCAGGUGUAGCGGUGAAAUGCGUAGAGAUCUGGAGGAAUACCGGUGGCGAAGGCGGCCCCUGGGACGAAGACUGACGCUCAGGUGCGAAAGCGUGGGGAGCAAACGAGGAUUAGGAUACC